CAUCUAAGCAUGAAGCCCCCCUCAAGAUGAGAUUUCCCAUAGCGUAAGCUAGUAAGAUCCCUGAAAGAUGAUCAGGUUGAUAGGUUCGAGGUGGAAGCAUGGUGACAUGUGGAGCUGACGAAUACUAAUAGAUCGAGGACUUAACCA
rnacentral:rRNA from 1 species